rnacentral:lncRNA from 1 species
GGGGAACAACAUAAUAUUGUGGGAGGAGUCAUUUGGUGGGUUUUGAGUGAAAUCCAAUCUCUAGAACUAUACAAUACACCAACCACCCCAUUUCAGAACGAACUUCGUACGAACCUGAAUUGUCCGAUUUCAAGGACCAAUCGAUAUCGGAUUGAGUCCAAAACUUGGGGACCAUCAUAAUAUUGAGGGAGGAGUCAUUUGGUGGGUUUUGAGUGAAAUCCAAUCUCUAGAACUAUACAAUACACUAACCACCCCAUUUCAGAACGAACUUCGUACGAACCUGAAUUGUCCGAUUUCAAGGACCAAUCGAUAUCGGAUUGAGUCCAAAACUUGGGGAACAUCAUAAUAUUGUGGGAGGAGUCAUUUGGUGGGUUUUGAGUGAAAUCCAAUCUUUAGAACUACACAAUACACCAACCACCCCAUUUAUGAACGAACUUCGUACGAACAUGAAUUGACCGAUUUCAAGGGCCAAUCGAUAUCGGAUUGAGUCCAAAACUUGGGGAACAUCAAAAUAUUAUGGAAGGAGUCAUUUGGUGGGUUUUGAAUGAAAUCCAAUCUGUAGAACUACACAAUACACCAACCACCCCAUUUGUGAACAAACUUCAUACGAACCUGAAUUGUCCGAUUUCAAGGACCAAUCGAAAUCGGAUUGAGUCCAAAACUUGGGGAACAUCAUAAUAUUAUGGGUGGAGUCAUUUGGUGGGUUUUGAGUGAAAUCCAAUCUCUAGAACUAUACAAUACACCAACCACCCCAUUUCAGAACGAACUUCGUAUAAACCUGAAUUGUCCGAUUUCAAGGACCAAUCGAUAUUGGAUUGAGUCCAAAACUUGGGGAACAUCAUAAUGUUGUGGGAGGAGUCAUUUGGUGGGUUGUGAGUUAAAUACAAUCCCUAGAACUAUACAAUACACCAACCACUCCAUUUCAGAACGAACUACGUACGAACCUGAAUUGUCAAAUUUCGUGGACCGAUCGAUAUCGAAUUGAGUCCAAAACUUGGGGAACAAAAUAAUAUUGUGGGAGGAGUCAUUUGGUGGGAUUUGAGUGAAAUCCAAUCUCUAGAACUAUACAAUAUAC